UACGAAGGGGGGCUAGCGUUGCUCGGAAUCACUGGGCGUAAAGCGCACGUAGGCGGAUUGUUAAGUCGGGGGUGAAAUCCUGGAGCUCAACUCCAGAACUGCCUUUGAUACUGAAGAUCUUGAGUUCGGGAGAGGUGAGUGGAACUGCGAGUGUAGAGGUGAAAUUCGUAGAUAUUCGCAAGAACACCAGUGGCGAAGGCGGCUCACUGGCCCGAUACUGACGCUGAGGCACGAAAGCGUGGGGAGCAAACAGGG
rnacentral:rRNA from 1 species